GGAAGAGGGUCAGAGUAGAGAUGUAAGCAUGGGUGUAGGAAGGUCAGAAGAAGGUAUGGGGGAAUCCCAGGGAGGCAUGCAGGCCUCGGGAUUUGGCUAUCCACCCUUUCCACAGGGCCCAGAGUAUCCGAUGGGAGGCACGUCGGAUUACUCCAGCUUUGCCCCAUAUCCACCCUACAUGCCAUAUAUGCCCUAUCCUUCCUUUUAUCCACCAUAUCACAUGUAUCCACCCCCACCUGUUCAUCCAAGUCCAGUACAGCCUGAAGUGAGG
rnacentral:lncRNA from 1 species